UCAAUGAUGAUGUUCAAUGUUUUACAGUUUAAUUUAAGAUAUACUAUUGGAUAAGUUGACAUGUUAUCUUUUGAGUUUUAUAAUAAUUACGUACUAUUAUAUGUUUUAUUUAUGUUACUUUUCUUUUUAUAAAUGAAUCACAAUUGUAAGAUUAUAUUAGUGUAUGUUUGUAGUUCUCUAUGUAUUAACGGUCUUAAAAUAUAAAUUCAAAGUUCGGGUUUGUUACUAGUAUGUAUAAAACGGUGUGCAAAUAACCACUCCCUAGAAAAAUUCCAUACCAUUGGGCCACAAUCCACACGAGCAAG
rnacentral:lncRNA from 1 species